CAGUCGCCGCGGGAAUACGGAGGGUGCAAGCGUUAAUCGGAAUUACUGGGCGUAAAGCGCACGCAGGCGGUCUGUCAAGUCGGAUGUGAAAUCCCUGAGCUUAACUUAGGAAUUGCAUUCGAUACUGGGAAGCUAGAGUAUGGGAGAGGAUGGUAGAAUUCCAGGUGUAGCGGUGAAAUGCGUAGAGAUCUGGAGGAAUACCGAUGGCGAAGGCAGCCAUCUGGCCUAAUACUGACGCUGAGGUACGAAAGCAUGGGGAGCAAACAGGAUUAGAUACCCUGUAGUCCCUGUCUCUUAUACA
rnacentral:rRNA from 1 species